UACGUAGGGUGCAAGCGUUAAUCGGAAUUACUGGGCGUAAAGCGUACGCAGGCGGCUUUGCAAGACAGGUGUGAAAUCCCCGGGCCUAACCUGGGAACUGCAUUUGUGACUGCAUGGCUAGAGUUUGUCAGAGGGGGGUGGAAUUCCACGUGUAGCAGUGAAAUGCGUAGAUAUGUGGAGGAACACCGAUGGCGAAGGCAGCCCCCUGGGAUGUGACUGACGCUCAUGUACGAAAGCGUGGGGAGCAAAC
rnacentral:rRNA from 2 species